rnacentral:lncRNA from 1 species
ACUUUUAAAAGAUGGCGUCUCAUAGAUGCCAGGCUAACCUCAAACAUGCUGCUUCGUAUUGAUCCUCCAGUCUUCCCAAUCUCCACUGGGAUUAAAUACAGGUUCAACCGGUUGCUUCUCUCUGGACCCCGAAAUCACUGGCCUGUGCACACUUGAACCUGCUUCCUACAGCAGCAGGGUCUGGGGAAUAUUGGUCACCAAGCUCCAUUUGUUUUUAUAGAUUAUUAGCAGAUCUUCAAAGGGACCAUGGACUUUGUGCUAGCCUAUGGGAAGAAAAACAGUCUAUUAAAAUGUUGCCUCAUUAGCCUGGUUCUUUGAAGGUAAACAGCAUAGGACAAGGUAUGUUGGAUGGCUUGUAAUGUUGAGACUUACAUAGGUAUAUGAUUAUCUACC